UACGUAGGGCGCAAGCGUUGUCCGGAUUUAUUGGGCGUAAAGAGCUCGUAGGCGGUCUGUCGCGUCGGCUGUGAAAACCCGAGGCUCAACCUCGGGCCUGCAGUCGAUACGGGCAGACUAGAGUGGCGGUAGGGGAGACUGGAAUUCCGUGGGUGAUAGCGGUGAAAUGCGCAGAUAUCAGGAGGAACACCGGUGGCGAAGGCGGGUCUCUGGGCCGUAACUGACGCUGGAGGAGCGAAA
rnacentral:rRNA from 1 species